CGGAAUCAUUGGGCGUAAAGCGCCUGUAGGUUGUUUAAUAAGUCCGUUGUUAAAGACUAGGGCUUAACCCUAGGAAAGCGAUGGAAACUGAUAGACUUGAGUAUGGCAGGGGUAGAGGGAAUUUCUAGUGUAGCGGUGAAAUGCGUAGAUAUUAGAAAGAACACCGGUGGCGAAAGCGCUCUACUGGACCAUUACUGACACUGAGAGGCGAAAGCUAGGGGAGCGAAAGGGAUUAGAUACCCCUGUAGUCCUAGCCGUAAACGAUGGAUACUAGAUGUUGUGCAAUUUGGACAGUAUCGUAGCUAACGCGUUAAGUAUCCCGCCUGGGGAGUACGCUCGCAAGGGUGAAACUCAAAGGAAUUGACGGGGGCCCGCACAAGCGGUGGAGCAUGUGGUUUAAUUCGAUGCAACGCGAAGAACCUUACCAGGGCUUGACAUACUACAGAUCUUUUUGAGAAAGAAGAGUGCCUUCGGGAAUGUAGAUACAGGUGGUGCAUGGCUGUCGUCAGCUCGUGUCGUGAGUUGUUGGGCUAAGUCCCGCAACGAGCGCAACCCUCGUUUUUAGUUGCCAAUUUAUUGGGAUCUCUAGAAAGACUGCCGGUGACAAACCGGAGGAAGGUGAGGAUGACGUCAAGUCAGCAUGCCCCUUAUGUCCUGGGCCACACACGUGCUACAAUGGUAAAGACAAAGAGUCGCCAAUUCGCGAGAAUGAGCUAAUCUCAUAAACUUUAUCUAAGUUCGGAUUGUAGGCUGCA
rnacentral:rRNA from 1 species